rnacentral:lncRNA from 1 species
AAAAAAUGGAUUAAUUGACUAGGACUUAAAAUAUUAUUGUUUACUUUAUGUAAUAGAUUCAGUGAAAAUGAAAUGAAAUACUUCCAUCUCUGGCCGUGAUCUAUUUGUGUUAAAUGAAAAAACAAUUGUAUCUAUCUAUCUGGUCUACUUAUAACCUAUAAUCAAUUUUCUGUGUCUGGGCAUUAACUGUUAAAUGCAGGUAACUUGUUUUGUUUUUAUUGAAAGCAUUAGUUUUUAGGCUAUACUUUAGACAUAGUGACAUAGAGGUCACAUUGGUAACUGGUGGAGUUAAACGCAAAUUUGAUUUGCAAUGAUAGAAAAAUAGGACCAGGUACAGUCCAUUUGUCAUAGCAUUUGUUCAAUAAGGCAGAUUAUCAAAAUAACGAUAAAGCAUAAAUAGUGUAUUUCACCAAAUGUGCUGAACAAACAAGGAUUAAAUGUGACUUUGAACUCUUCCCCAUACAUUAUACUGAACCUCUUGCUUUCACUUCAGGACAGCUCAAACACAUGCCUAUCAGUUUUCCCUCUGGAAUGUGGUGGAAAUACUCUACAGAAACCACUCACAAAGGUAGCUCUUGCAUCAGUGGGACACUGUGCCUGAGCAAAUUUACCAAAGGAGGCUACUUGUGAACUAUUGACUCAGUUAGAGCUCCUCCAGAUGGUUGCACUGCACUCUGCGGCUCUGGAAGAAAAACUACUGGAUAAAAUAAAUUGGUCUGUGGCCUCUUGAACUUGCUAGAAACAACCUUGCUGUCAAGCGCAACGCUAACUUCAGAGAUCUUAGCUGAAAGGUCUGCGCCUAAUGAAUGCCGAGGGAAAUGUUCUUAAUGCUGCUUUUGAGGUAUCACUUCUUUAGAGAAGACAACCAAUUUUACUGUUUACUUUGUUACCAUGUCUCAGAAGUUCCUUCACCUCCUGACUGUGACCCUUACUGUGACCUGCAAAUUGAGGAAGCAGACUUUAGCAACAAAGAUGGAAACACCUCAGAGGAAUAUGUCUGA